CCUACGGGUGGCUGCAGUGGGGAAUAUUGCACAAUGGGCGCAAGCCUGAUGCAGCGACGCCGCGUGAGGGAUGGAGGCCUUCGGGUUGUAAACCUCUUUUGUUUGGGAGCAAGCCUUCGGGUGAGUGUACCUUUCGAAUAAGCACCGGCUAACUACGUGCCAGCAGCCGCGGUAAUACGUAGGGUGCAAGCGUUAUCCGGAAUUAUUGGGCGUAAAGGGCUCGUAGGCGGUUCGUCGCGUCCGGUGUGAAAGUCCAUCGCUUAACGGUGGAUCUGCGCCGGGUACGGGCGGGCUGGAGUGCGGUAGGGGAGACUGGAAUUCCCGGUGUAACGGUGGAAUGUGUAGAUAUCGGGAAGAACACCAAUGGCGAAGGCAGGUCUCUGGGCCGUUACUGACGCUGAGGAGCGAAAGCGUGGGGAGCGAACAGGAUUAGAUACCCGUGUAGUC
rnacentral:rRNA from 1 species